ACUUUACCAUAUCAACAACAUAUAUUCCAUAAUCAAUCAACUGUCUCUCUAGUAUAGGAUGUAAAUUCUGCAACAGUAUCUGUGCUAGCAAUCGUAACUUGAAUUUAUCAACAGAAUAUAUUGAAAUGAAAAUCAACUCACCUAGUUUUGGAGGUACUAAGGGACAUAAUGGCAGGGAUUCAUUUGUAACUCGUUCCUUGAUGAAUCCUGGAUUCAGAAUAUAUAUAUAAAUUUACCAGCAGUGAAACGAAGGGCAGAAACGUAAGGUACAGUCAAAAAACAAUGGCAGGUUUGUAACUUUUUAUAAAUUACAUGCCCAAUCUUAUUACUGUUAUGAUGAUAAUGCUGAUUUGAGAAUAUGUAUGGUAUAUAAUAUAAUUCUCUUCAAACUAUCACUCAAUUAUAAGAAAAGAUUGUAUUGA